UGGGGAAUAUUGGACAAUGGGCGAAAGCCAGAUCCAGCCAUGCCGCGUGUGUGAAGAAGGUCUUCGGAUUGUAAAGCACUUUAAGCGGGGAGGAGGGUACUGGUAUUAAUACUACCAGGUACUGGACGUUACUCGCAGAAUAAGCACCGGCUAACUCUGUGCCAGCAGCCGCGGUAAUACAGAGGGUGCGAGCGUUAAUCGGAUUUACUGGGCGUAAAGCGUGCGUAGGCGGCUAAUUGAGUCGGAUGUGAAAUCCCCGAGCUUAACUUGGGAAUUGCAUUCGAUACUGGUUAGCUAGAGUGUGGGAGAGGAUGGUAGAAUUCCAGGUGUAGCGGUGAAAUGCGUAGAGAUCUGGAGGAAUACCGAUGGCGAAGGCAGCCAUCUGGCCUAACACUGACGCUGAGGUACGAAAGCAUGGGGAGCAAACAGG
rnacentral:rRNA from 1 species